rnacentral:rRNA from 1 species
GACGAACGCUGGCGGCGUGCUUAACACAUGCAAGUCGAACGGAAAGGCCCUGCUUUUGUGGGGUGCUCGAGUGGCGAGCGGGUGAGUAACACGUGAGUAACCUGCCCUUGACUUUGGGAUAACUUCAGGAAACUGGGGCUAAUACCGGAUAGGAGCUCCUGCUGCAUGGUGGGGGUUGGAAAGUGUCGGCGGUUGGGGAUGGACUCGCGGCUUAUCAGCUUGUUGGUGGGGUAGUGGCUUACCAAGGCUUUGACGGGUAGCCGGCCUGAGAGGGUGACCGGCCACAUUGGGACUGAGAUACGGCCCAGACUCCUACGGGAGGCAGCAGGGGGGAAUAUUGCACAAUGGGCGGAAGCCUGAUGCAGCAACGCCGCGUGCGUGAUGACGGGCUUCGGGUUGUAAACCGCUUUCGCAUGUGACGAAGAGUGAGUGACGGUAAUGGGUAAAGAAGCACCGGCUAACUACGUG